rnacentral:rRNA from 1 species
AUUGAACGCUGGCGGCAGGCCUAACACAUGCAAGUCGAGCGAGCGGCGGACGGGUGAGUAAUGUAUGGGGACUGCCCGAUAGAGGGGGAUAACUACUGGAAACGGUGGCUAAUACCGCAUACUAUCGGAUAACCCAUAUGGGAUUAGCUAGUAGGUGGGGGAAAGGCUCACCAAGGCGACGAACUCUAGCUGGUCUGAGAGGAUGAUCGGCCACACUGGGACUGGGCCACGGCCCAGACCCCACCGGAGGCAGCAGUGGGGAUUAUUGCCCAAUGGGCGCAAGCCUGAUGCAGCCAGGCCGCGUGGAUGAGGAAGGCCUUAGGGUUGUAAAGUACUUUCAGCGGGGAGGCGUUACCCGCAGAAGAAGCACCGGCUAACUCCGUGCCAGCCGCCGCGGUAAUUC